rnacentral:rRNA from 1 species
AUACGAAGGGGGCAAGCGUUGUUCGGAAUAACUGGGCGUAAAGCGCACGUAGGCGGAAUGUUAAGUUAGAGGUGAAAUCCCAGGGCUCAACCCUGGAACGGCCUUUAAUACUGGCAAUCUAGAGACCGAGAGAGGUGAGUGGAAUUCCGAGUGUAGAGGUGAAAUUCGUAGAUAUUCGGAGGAACACCAGUGGCGAAGGCGGCUCACUGGCUCGGUACUGACGCUAAGGUGCGAAAGCGUGGGGAGCAAACAGGAUUAGAAACCCUAGUAGUCC